UACGUAGGGGGCGAGCGUUGUCCGGAAUGACUGGGCGUAAAGGGCGUGUAGGCGGCCGAUUAAGUCCGGAGUGAAAGUCCUGCUUUCAAGGUGGGAAUUGCUUUGGAAACUGGUUGGCUUGAGUGCGGAAGAGGUAAGUGGAAUUCCCAGUGUAGCGGUGAAAUGCGUAGAGAUUGGGAGGAACACCAGUGGCGAAGGCGACUUACUGGGCCGUAACUGACGCUGAGGCGCGAAAGCGUGGGGAGCGAACAGGAUUAGAUACCCUGGUAGUCCACGCGGUAAACGAUGAAUGCUAGGUGUAGGGGGUAUCGACCCCUCCUGUGCCGGAGUAAACACAAUAAGCAUUCCGCCUGGGGAGUACGGCCGCAAGGUUGAAACUCAAAGGAAUUGACGGGGGCCCGCACAAGCAGCGGAGCAUGUUGUUUAAUUCGAUGCAACGCGAAGAACCUUACCAGGUCUUGACAUUGAUGUAAACCGCCAGAGAUGGCGGGUGCCUUCGGGCGACAGAAAACAGGUGGUGCAUGGUU
rnacentral:rRNA from 1 species